rnacentral:misc_RNA from 1 species
AGGAUUAAAUGUAGAUACGGCAUGACAACCUCCCCCACAACCAAGAUAUUUUUCUCAUUAUCACUUUUCUCUUCCAAAGAAAUAUCUUAUUAAGAAACAGUCACUGUGGCAGACGACAGACAGCAAACGGCAGGCGAUCUCGUACCGGCCAUUAAUCUAUCGUCUGCUUGCGGAAUUCACUGAACAACCGACUCAGGUUUAACCUAUUUUCUACAUUAGUUAUUUGCAAUGUAUUUUACAUGGCAUGCGUUAAUCUGCCUGAUUUUCCUGGCUAAAAUAUCGACAUCUGUAAAUAUAACCUUAACAAAUGCGACUCCGAAUGGAAACAACAAACUUUUGUCAACGAUCCUUGAUUCAAGCGUAUCAAAUACUUCACCAGCCAAAGUGAAUCCAAACUUGCAAUAUUUUACUACCAACAAAUUUAUAUCGGCUAUGCAAACGAACCCUGGAAAUUUUACAACCAAAGUAUUCAGUGCUUCCUCACAGACAAACAACAAGGUCCCACCACAAACACAGAGCUCCAAUAAUUCAGUUUCCCAAACGACUCCUUUCCAGCAGACAUCUGAUCCAGUGACUUUGCUGGGAAAUGGAAGUUCCAACAGCGAGAUGACCACAUCAGGACAAAACCUCAAUAAAACGGUCAGAAGUAUCAUCAUUAGCCAUCAGAUCCACCUUGUUCAGUUUAACAUUCACCAUACUUCGGUCAUUCUAUACAUUGCUUGCACAACUUUAGCUGCUGUCUUCCUGGCUGUCGGUUUCCAUCAUUGCCACAGACUGGCCAGGUACAUACCCGAAUCAUGUUUCUUGUUGUGCUUAGGAAUAGCAUUUGGCUGCGUUAUAAGAUUUACCUCACUUGAUGAACUUAUACCUGAAACAUUUUCACCAGAUAUAUUUUUCCUGGUCUUACUUCCUCCUGUUAUUCUGGGAGCUUCCUAUAGUCUGAACAAUCGGAUUUUCUAUGAUAAUCUUGGUGUUGUUCUUCUAUUUGCUGUUCUUGGCACAGCAGUGGCUUGUUUUAUAAUUGCACCGCUAUUGUAUGGUCUGUCAUUAACACCAGCCUUAAAUCUUCCAAAAGAUCAUCUGCUCACACAAAUAUUUCUGUUUUCUGCCCUUAUUGUUGCAGUGGACCCUGUUGCAGUUUUGGCUGUGUUUUCUGAAUUGGGAGUCAAUAAACCUUUGCAUAUUGUGGUCUUUGGAGAAUCCCUUUUAAAUGAUGGUGUCAGUGUGGUUCUGUACCGAGUUAUGGACAACUUCCAUCAGAUGCCGGAAAUUACCGGUAAAGAUAUUGGUUUCGGCUUCCUCAAGUUCUUGGUCAGUGCUGGAGUUAGUUCCUUGAUGGGUUCUUUGAUUGGCAUUUUCUCCACAGUGGCCUGCAAGUUCACCUAUGUCAAACAUGUGUUGGAACCAGCCAUCCUUAUAAUUACGGCCUACCUGUCCUACGUCUUAGCAGAGUCGUUUGAAUUGUCGGGAAUUAUAUGUAUGAUAGUAUGUGGCCUAAUCCAAGCUCAAUAUGCCUUCCACAAUAUCAACCCUAAAUCACGAACUAAUUUAAAAUUCAUCAUCAAAACAAUAGGGCUGGCAGCAGAAUUAGUGAUAUUCAUAUUCUUGGGCAUUUCUGUAGCUCGGACCAGACAUGUAUGGAAUGCUGGUUUUAUUAUCUGGAGUCUGGUGGCUUGCAUCUUCUCAAGGACACUGAUUACCCUUGUCUUUUCCUAUUUUAUCAAUAAAUUCCAUGGUGAAAGAAUGAAAAUUUUCUCUCUCAAAGAACAGCUAGUCAUGUCGUACGGAGGCCUCCGCGGUGGCGUGGCAUUCUCCUUAGCACUACAACUUUCUGAGGAACACGUAACUCUACGUGGUAUGUUCCUCACAACCGUAUUGAUGAUUAUACUUUUCAAUGUUGUCAUCCAGGGAAUUUCUAUACGUCCCCUGAUAAAUAUACUAAAAGUUAAACUGGAGGAGAAGGCAAAGAAAAACCUACUCUGUACCAUCAAUCACCAGUUGACUGACAGCAUGCUGCAACUGGUGGAGAAGAUAUCUGGACAUUCUGGGAAGAAUGUAUGGAGGGUAAAAAAAACUAGAGAAAUUCGAACUGACUUACAUUCAACGAUGUCUUUUGAAAGAGCCACACCCAACUGUUCUUAAGAUUGGAGAUGUCAACACCAAGAUUGCCAUCAGGAAUGUCUACAGUUCAAUGAGUUCCUUGGCAUCCCAGUCACAGAUUGAGGAACGAUAUGUCAGGGACAGAUAUACAAGUUUAGCGCCGGUUCAGUAUGAAUUAAAUGUGAGAAGUGAGCGACCUGGGAAAACUUCCAU